GAGGCGUGGCUUCCGGAGCUAACGCGUUAAGUCGACCGCCUGGGGAGUACGGCCGCAAGGUUAAAACUCAAAUGAAUUGACGGGGGCCCGCACAAGCGGUGGAGCAUGUGGUUUAAUUCGAUGCAACGCGAAGAACCUUACCUACUCUUGACAUCCAGAGAAUUCGCUAGAGAUAGCUUAGUGCCUUCGGGAACUCUGAGACAGGUGCUGCAUGGCUGUCGUCAGCUCGUGUUGUGAAAUGUUGGGUUAAGUCCCGCAACGAGCGCAACCCUUAUCCUUUGUUGCCAG
rnacentral:rRNA from 1 species